CCGGCGGGCCCCGAGCGGCAGCGGGAGCUGCAGGCGCAGGAGCUGCUGCGCGCCGCGGGGCUGCACGGGGACGGGGACGGACACGGGGACGGAGCACCUGGGGCAGGCCGUGUCCCCGAGGAGCCCCCGGAGCGGAUGGACAUCGGGGACAUCCGGGAUCACCUGGACUCGCUGCAGCUCUGGGACAGCGCCGGGGCCCCGCCCACGGGCCCUGAGCCCCGCCCACCCUCACCUGAGCAGGGCUGGCCAUGUCCCCAGUGCAUGUUCCUGAACAAGCCCACCCGCCCAGGCUGUGAGAUGUGC